AUUAACGCGAAGAACCUUACCAGGCCUUGACAUCCAAUGAACUUUCUAGAGAUAGAUUGGUGCCUUCGGGAACAUUGAGACAGGUGCUGCACGGCUGUCGUCAGCUCGUGUCGUGGGAUGUUGGGUUAAGUCCCGUAACGAGCGCAACCCUUGUCCUUAGUUACCAGCACGUUAUGGUGGGCACUCUAAGGAGACUGCCGGUGACAAACCGGAGGAAGGUGGGGAUGACGUCAAGUCAUCAUGGCCCUUACGGCCUGGGCUACACACGUGCUACAAUGGUCGGUACAGAGGGUUGCCAAGCCGCGAGGUGGAGCUAAUCCCAGAAAACCGAUCGUAGUCCGGAUCGCAGUCUGCAACUCGACUGCGUGAAGUCGGAAUCGCUAGUAAUCGCGAAUCAGAAUGUCGCGGUGAAUACGUUCCCGGGCCUUGUACACACCGA
rnacentral:rRNA from 1 species